rnacentral:rRNA from 1 species
GAAUGCUGACAUAAGUAACGAUAAAGCGGGUGAAAAGCCCGCUCGCCGGAAGACCAAGGGUUCCUGUCCAACGUUAAUCGGGGCAGGGUGAGUCGACCCCUAAGGCGAGGCCGAAAGGCGUAGUCGAUGGGAAACGGGUUAAUAUUCCCGUACUUGGUGUUACUGCGAAGGGGGGACGGAGAAGGCUAUGUUGGCCGGGCGACGGUUGUCCCGGUUUAAGCGUGUAGGUGUGUGUUCCAGGUAAAUCCGGUUCACUUUAACACUGAGGCGUGACGACGAGGCACUACGGUGCUGAAGCAACAAAUGCCCUGCUUCCAGGAAAAGCCUCUAAGCAUCAGGUAACAUCAAAUCGUACCCCAAA